GAGUUUGAUCCUGGCUCAGAUUGAACGCUGGCGGCAUGCCUUACACAUGCAAGUCGAACGGCAGCACGGGAGUAAUCCUGGUGGCGAGUGGCGAACGGGUGAGUAAUAUAUCGGAACGUGCCCAGUCGUGGGGGAUAACGCAGCGAAAGCUGUGCUAAUACCGCAUACGAUCUCUGGAUGAAAGCGGGGGACUCGCAAGAGCCUCGCGCGAUUGGAGCGGCCGAUAUCAGAUUAGCUAGUUGGCGGGGUAAAAGCCCACCAAGGCGACGAUCUGUAGCUGGUCUGAGAGGACGACCAGCCACACUGGAACUGAGACACGGUCCAGACUCCUACGGGAGGCAGCAGUGGGGAAUUUUGGACAAUGGGCGAAAGCCUGAUCCAGCAAUGCCGCGUGCAGGAUGAAGGCCUUCGGGUUGUAAACUGCUUUUGUACGGAACGAAACGGUCUGCCCUAAUACGGUGGGCUAAUGACGGUACCGUAAGAAUAAGCACCGGCUAACUACGUGCCAGCAGCCGCGGUAAUACGUAGGGUGCGAGCGUUAAUCGGAAUUACUGGGCGUAAAGCGUGCGCAGGCGGUUAUAUAAGACAGAUGUGAAAUCCCCGGGCUCAACCUGGGACCUGCAUUUGUGACUGUAUAGCUAGAGUACGGUAGAGGGGGGAUGAAUUCCGCGUGUAGCAGUGAAAUGCGUAGAUAUGCGGAGGAACACCGAUGGCGAAGGCAAUCCCCUGGACCUGUACUGACGCUCAUGCACGAAAGCGUGGGGAGCAAACAGGAUUAGAUACCCUGUAGUCCACGCCCUAAACGAUGUCAACUGGUUGUUGG
rnacentral:rRNA from 1 species